rnacentral:rRNA from 1 species
GACGAACGCUGGCGGCGUGCUUAACACAUGCAAGUCGAACGGAAAGGCCCUGCUUUUGUGGGGUGCUCGAGUGGCGAACGGGUGAGUAACACGUGAGUAACCUGCCCUUGACUUUGGGAUAACUUCAGGAAACUGGGGCUAAUACCGGAUAGGAGCUCCUGCUGCAUGGUGGGGGUUGGAAAGUUUCGGCGGUUGGGGCUGGACUCGCGGCUUAUCAGCUAGUUGGUGGGGUAGUGGCUUACCAAGGGUUUGACGGGUAGCCGGCCUGGGAGGGUGACCGGCCUCCUGGGGCCUGCGGGAGGGCGCAGUCGCCUACGGGAGGCAGCGGUGGAGAAUAUUGCGCAGUGGGCGGACGCCUGUGACGGCGACGCUGCGUGCGGGAUGACGGCCUUCGGGUUGUAAACAGCUUUCUCCUGUGCCGUGGCGUGAUUGACGGUAAUGGGUAAGGAAGCCCCGGCUAACUACGUG